rnacentral:rRNA from 1 species
UUGUUUGUGGCGAUUUGACAUAUAUGGGAGAACCGGAACAACAUAAGAAAUGGUGAAAAAAUGUCUCAUCCUUCACGUGUGGCGGGCAAGAUCAAAUCUUAUGUUUAUUUCAUCUUAUUGCACAAUUUCAGGUCGACUGGCUCCAAUAGGCGCGAGCACCAGGUGUUAAUCCCGAAGUGGUCUCCGCCGCCGGCCGAGUCGGUCAAGGUUAAUGUUGAUGCUGUGAUUUUUGCCCAGACUAAACGCAUGGGCAUUGGUGUUGUCAUCCCAAAUCAUCUAGGUCUGGUGCUGGCAGCAAGCAGAGGGUUUAUUGAUCAUGUUGAUAAUCCGGAGCUGGGUGAAGCUAUUGCAAUGCGCCACGCGUUGAUUUUUGCUGAAGAUGGUUUCCAGAAAAUCUUUGUGGAGACAAAUUGUGCCAGUUUGAUGAGCAAAAUUAAGAGUAAAGUGGAUGACAGGUCUCACACAGGUGCUGUAGUUUUUGAUAUUAAGAGUAGGGCUCCAAGGUUCUUAUCCUGUUGUUUUACUCGUGUUAGUCAAUGUUGUAAUGAGGCAGCUCAUGUUCUAGCAAAGGCUGCUGAACAUGAUGAAGGGUCAUGCUGGUUUAAUGUAUCUCCUGAAGUUAUCAGGACUAUUGUUUGUACUAACAGUUCUGAAAUGUAUGAAUGAGGCUGCCCAUUAUUUCAAAAAAAAAACGUGCUCCUCUUUCAUUCAAAAUUUUCAUCGCCAUCCAUUUGGAAAAAGGAAGCUAAAUCGUUAUCUUUUCUGCGGCUUUCAGAAUUUCCUUUUUUAAAAGUUGUACCCUUGUGUUUUUGA